GUGCCAGCAGCCGCGGUAAUACGGAGGGUGCAAGCGUUAAUCGGAAUUACUGGGCGUAAAGCGCGCGUAGGUGGCUUGAUAAGCCGGUUGUGAAAGCCCCGGGCUCAACCUGGGAACGGCAUCCGGAACUGUCAGGCUAGAGUGCAGGAGAGGAAGGUAGAAUUCCCGGUGUAGCGGUGAAAUGCGUAGAGAUCGGGAGGAAUACCAGUGGCGAAGGCGGCCUUCUGGACUGACACUGACACUGAGGUGCGAAAGCGUGGGUAGCAAACAGGAUUAGAUACCCUGGUAGUCCACGCCGUAAACGAUGUCGACCAGCCGUUGGGUGCCUAGAGCACUUUGUGGCGAAGUUAACGCGAUAAGUCGACCGCCUGGGGAGUACGGCCGCAAGGUUAAACUCAAAUGAAUUGACGG
rnacentral:rRNA from 1 species